rnacentral:rRNA from 1 species
AUGGGAACGCGAAGAACCUUACCUACUCUUGACAUCCAGAGAACUUAGCAGAGAUGCUUUGGUGCCUUCGGGAACUCUGAGACAGGUGCUGCAUGGCUGUCGUCAGCUCGUGUUGUGAAAUGUUGGGUUAAGUCCCGCAACGAGCGCAACCCUUAUCCUUUGUUGCCAGCGGUUGGGCCGGGAACUCAAAGGAGACUGCCAGUGAUAAACUGGAGGAAGGUGGGGAUGACGUCAAGUCAUCAUGGCCCUUACGAGUAGGGCUACACACGUGCUACAAUGGCGCAUACAAAGAGAAGCGACCUCGCGAGAGCAAGCGGACCUCAUAAAGUGCGUCGUAGUCCGGAUUGGAGUCUGCAACUCGACUCCAUGAAGUCGGAAUCGCUAGUAAUCGUAGAUCAGAAUGCUACGGUGAAUACGUUCCCGGGUCUUGUACACACCG